rnacentral:misc_RNA from 1 species
GAUGAAGAACGCAGCGAAAUGCGAUAAGUAGUGUGAAUUGCAGAAUUCAGUGAAUCAUCGAAUCUUUGAACGCACAUUGCGCCCCUUGGUAUCCCGAGGGGCAUGCCUGUUCGAGCGUCAUUUCACCACUCAAGCCUGGCUUGGUGUUGGGCGACGUCCCCUUUGGGGACGCGCCUCGAAACGCUCGGCGGCGUGGCACCGGCUUUAAGCGUAGCAGAAUCUUUCGCUUUGGAAGUCGGGGCCCCGUCUCCCGGAAGACCUACUCGCAAGGUUGACCUCGGAUCAGGCAGGGAUACCCGCUGAACUUAAGCAUAUCAAUAAGCGGAGGA